rnacentral:misc_RNA from 1 species
AUUUAUUUAUUUUUUUUUUUAUCAUACUGUGUGUACCGGAUAAGAUGGGUUAUCGUUCCCGAUUCCCAUGGGUCCCACUCUAAGCUUUGCGUGCAGUGCACUAGUCAAGUAGUCUAGUGUACGAGUAAGCAAUUUACUGCCUCACUGUUACUGUGCUAAAGCAUGGUUAAUGGUACCUUCUAUAGCGGCGCUAGGUGGUUGCCACCCCCCAACUGACGGAAAAUGGUUGCCCCUCUGUUCCCGGCGUUCUAACCGGAACUAACUCGGAAUGACCGAGUCUCCGGUGGACCGGUAGUAGCUAGAGUAUAGAUUAGAUAAGCUCAAGUCUUGUUUCUACUUUCCAGUCAACAAUAGAUGACAAAACUUGGCCAUAUUCAUUUUAAAGACCAAAGCAUUCUGCAGAUGAUUCCAAAGCAACCCAUUUUUUAAUUAUUAAUUUUCUUUCCCAAACCCUAGCUGGCUUAGCUAGCUUCUUUCAUUUCCUUUUGAAAGUGAUGCUUUGUUCUGUAUUUACCGACAAAAUUCACUUACUGUUAUCAAAACAAUAAGCAGCAGAAGGAAUUUCCGAAGGUGUCUUCUUCGAUAUUCCCUUUUGUUUCCAUUGCUAUUUAUGUUAUUCUACUGGUUCUCUCCCUUGGAUUUAAAGGGACUCAGUUUGAUCACUCAAACAACCAUCAGGAUGGCUAUUCAAGCAUGCUUCUUGAUCAUAUUAUUAAGCGUCUUGCGUGUGGAUUCCAAGUAUAUUGCUUACAAUACUACGUCCAGCAUUGUUCCUGGGAAGAUCAAUGUUCACUUAGUGCCUCAUACGCACGAUGAUGUUGGCUGGUUAAAGACUAUUGAUCAGUACUAUGUUGGAUCUAACAAUUCCAUUCAGGGAGCAUGUGUGCAAAAUGUACUGGAUUCUUUGGUGCCAGCAUUGCUGGCAGAUAAAAAUCGCAAGUUCAUAUAUGUUGAGCAGGCAUUUUUUCAGCGUUGGUGGAGAGACCAGAGCCCGGAAGUUCAAAUUAUAGUCAAGAAGCUUGUCAGCUCGGGCCAACUUGAGUUAAUAAAUGGGGGCAUGUGCAUGCAUGAUGAGGCGACUACACAUUACAUUGAUAUGAUUGAUCAAACAACCUUAGGGCAUCGAUUUAUCAAAGAAGAAUUUAAUGUCACACCAAGAAUUGGUUGGCAAAUUGAUCCAUUUGGACAUUCUGCAGUACAGGCUUAUCUGUUUGGGGCAGAGGUUGGAUUUGACUCUAUUUUUUUCGCUCGUAUUGACUAUCAAGACCGAGCUAAAAGGAAGGAUGAGAAGAGUCUUGAGGUUGUCUGGCGGGGGUCUAAAAGUCUAGGCUCAUCUGCACAGAUAUUUGCUGGAGCAUUCCCUAAGAAUUAUGAACCUCCAAGUGACAACUUCUACUUUGAAGUUGAUGAUGAGUCCCCCAUUGUCCAGGAUAACAUCAAUUUGUUUGAUUACAACGUCCCUGAUCGUGUGAAUGAUUUCGUAUCUGCUGCAUUGUCUCAAGCUAACAUAACUCGGACAAAUCAUAUCAUGUGGACUAUGGGGACAGAUUUCAAGUACCAGUAUGCUCGCACCUGGUUCAGGCAGAUGGACAAGUUUAUUCAUUAUGUGAAUCAAGUUGGUGUUCCCUGUGAUUAUGGUCACACCUAAAAUGGUUUCUUAAGUGGUGCUGAUGUUGCAUUUGAUUACAAAAUAGGCACAAUCUAUGCUAUUUGUUCAAUUAGAAAAUGGGCAUGUUCAUAUAACAUUUUUAUGAAGAGUUAUGAAUAUAGUUGAUGCAACAUUCUAAUGGUUGAGUAAGCUUUUUGAUAACAACUUGUACUUAUCUAUUGCAUGAGCUACCAUCAUUCUUUUGAGUUUUCUCUGUCAGGGAUUUCAAUUUUAUCAAGACCUUUUGCAUUUAAAUCAAGGAAUCAUUAGAUCUUUGUAUUUUCUGUAAUUUUCAAUGUUAAUGAAAAUACAAGAUUGGAAUGUUUACAGGAUGGGCGUGUGAAUGCCUUAUACUCAACACCAUCAAUGUACACUGAUGCAAAAUAUGCAGCAAAAGAAUCUUGGCCGCUCAAGACUGAUGACUACUUCCCAUAUGCAGAUGAGGUAAAUGCUUACUGGACUGGAUUCUUUACGAGCAGGCCUGCUAUCAAAGGUUAUGUUAGGACAAUGAGUGGCUACUAUUUGGCAGCGAGACAAUUAGAGUUUUUUAAAGGGAGGAGUAAAGCAGGACGAAAUACAGAUUCUCUGGCUGAUGCUUUAGCAGUUGCUCAACAUCAUGAUGCAGUUAGUGGUACAGAAAGGCAACAUGUUGCUUCUGAUUAUGCUCUGCGACUAUCAAUUGGCUAUGUGGAGGCCGAGAAGUUGGUUGCUUCUUCUCUGGCUUUCUUGGCAGAGUCAGGAUCAAGCAUUAGACAGGAGAACACUGUCACAAACUUUCAGCAGUGUCCGUUACUUAAUAUAAGUUACUGUCCUCCAUCAGAAGCUAUUUUGUCUGAUAAGAAAAGCUUGGUCGUCGUUGUCUACAAUCCUCUAGGAUGGAAGCGAGAGGAAGUGAUACGAAUUCCAGUGAGUGUUUGUUGUUAAGCUUGUAAAUCUAGGAGCCUCUCUUGGCAAAAUAAGGGUCAAAUUUAGGGAACUUGGGGCCAUGCCGUAAGUUGGGCGAAAGCUAAACAAUAUUCUCGUCUUUGGAGAGGCAAAAUAUCAGGCAGAAAACUGACGGCAAAUAUUUUCAAAUUUACUUACAUAAUAUCAGGCAGUAAUAAUUUAAACAUCAAAAACUUAAUAUUUUCAUGGAUAUGAAAGUAAAUUUUAUGUCAAACUUGCUACAGGUUUCCUCUGAAAAAGUUGUUGUUCAAGAUUCUAGUGGGAGAGAAAUUGAAUCUCAGCUUCUACCUAUAUCAAAUACAACCUUUAAUAUGAGAAAUAAAUAUGUUAAAGCAUAUCUGGGGAAAUUCCCGCGUGAAACUCCAAGGUAUUGGCUUGCAUUUUCUGCAUCCAUACCUCCCCUUGGUUUCAGCACUUUCAUGGUUUCAGGUGCAAGACAGACAGGGCCUAGUUCAACCAUCUCUCUGGUACACACAUUGGAGGAAGUUACAAACAAGACCAUAGAAGUUGGCCAAGGAAGUUUAAAGCUGGUUUAUUCUUCAGAUGAAGGGAAACUUACUCAUUAUGUCAAUACCAGAAGCCUGGUCACCACUGCUGUUGAACAAUCUUAUGGUUAUUAUUCUGGAAAUGAUGGUACUGAUAAAGAUCCACAGGCAUCUGGAGCUUAUGUUUUCCGUCCAAAUGGUACCUUCCCAAUAAAAUCUGAAAACCAGGUUCCUUUAACUUUUGUAAGGGGUCCACUACUGGAUGAAGUACGCCAGCAAAUCAACCCAUGGAUAUCUCAGAUUACUAGGAUCUACAAGGGGAAGGAACAUGCUGAAGUUGAGUUCACUAUUGGGCCUAUACCUGUGGAUGAUGGGAUUGGAAAAGAAAUUACUACCCAAAUUACAACCACUAUGAAGACCAAUAACACAUUCUAUACAGACUCUAAUGGACGUGACUUUAUUAAACGGAUUCGAGAUUUUAGGACAGACUGGGACCUCGAAGUAAAUCAACCAGUUGCCGGAAAUUAUUAUCCUAUCAAUCUUGGAAUUUAUAUGCAAGAUAACAGCUCGGAGCUCUCAGUGUUGGUGGACCGCUCGGUGGGAGGAUCUAGCUUAGUGGAUGGCCAAAUAGAACUGAUGCUCCAUAGGAGGUUGCUUCAUGAUGAUUCAAGAGGUGUUGGUGAGGUGCUGAAUGAGACAGUUUGUUUCUUAAAUGGGUGUGAGGGUUUAACUAUCCAAGGAAAGUAUUUUGUUAGAAUUGAUCACCUGGGAGAAGGUGCCAAGUGGCGUCGAACAGUUGGUCAAGAGAUAUAUUCCCCAGUUCUCUUAGCCUUCACCGAGCAGGAUGGAAGUAAUUGGAUGAAUUCCCAUAUAUCUACUUUUUCAGGAAUAGAUCCAUCCUACUCUUUACCUGAUAAUGUUGCUGUCAUAACCCUUCAGGAACUUGAAAAUGGAAAGGUGCUACUUCGGUUGGCUCAUCUAUAUGAGAUUGAAGAAGACAAAGACUAUU